GGCGGGUUAGCUCAGUGGUAGAGCAGGCCGGUUGAUGGCGACGUCAUCCGGAUAGUUACUGCGGGUCUUUGACCGACAGUAAAGCGCAGGUUCGAUUCCUGCGCCCGCCC
rnacentral:tRNA from 1 species